rnacentral:rRNA from 1 species
AUACGUAGGGGGCGAGCGUUGUCCGGAAUGAUUGGGCGUAAAGGGCGCGUAGGCGGCGCGGUAAGUCUGGAGUGAAAGUCCUGCUUUCAAGGUGGGAAUUGCUUUGGAUACUGCCGCGCUUGAGUGCAGGAGAGGUUAUCGGAAUUCCCGGUGUAGCGGUGAAAUGCGUAGAGAUCGGGAGGAACACCAGUGGCGAAGGCGGGUAACUGGACUGCAACUGACGCUGAGGCGCGAAAGUGUGGGGAGCAAACAGGAGUAGAUACCCUGGUAGUCCACACUGUAAACGAUGAAUGCUAGGUGUAAGAGGUAUCGACCCCUUUUGUGCCGGAGUCAACACAAUAAGCAUUCCGCCUGGGGAGUACGGCCGCAAGGUUGAAACUCAAAGGAAUUGACGGGG